rnacentral:rRNA from 1 species
UAGGGAAUAUUGGUAAUGGGCGAAAGCCUGAACCAGCAACGCCGCGUGUGCGAUGAAGGCCUUCGGGUUGUAAAGCACUUUUGACCGGGACGAGGAAGGACGGUACCGGUGGAAUAAGCCUCGGCUAACUACGUGCCAGCAGCCGCGGUAAAACGUAGGAGGCGAGCGUUAUCCGGAUUUACUGGGCGUAAAGCGCGUGCAGGCGGCACGGCAAGUUGGAUGUGAAAGCUCCCGGCUUAACUGGGAGAGGUCGUUCAAAACUGCCGAGCUAGAGUGCGGGAGAGGGAGGUGGAAUUCCGGGUGUAGUGGUGAAAUGCGUAGAUAUCCGGAGGAACACCAGUGGCGAAAGCGGCCUCCUGGUCCGCAACUGACGCUCAGACGCGAAAGCUAGGGUAGCAAACGG